rnacentral:tRNA from 1 species
GGAUGUAGCUCAGUGGUAGAGUGUGUGCUUAGCAUGCACGAGGUCCUGGGUUCAAUCCCCAGUACCUCCA